CAACCCCAGCUUAGGCGAGAACACCUGUUGAGUUUAAGCAUAUAAUUAAGCGGAGGAAAAGAAACUUACCAGGAUUCCCCUAGUAACAACAAGUGAAUCGGGAAGAUACCAGCAUGAAAAUCGGGUGGCAGCGCCACCUAAAUUGUUGUCUGUAUAAGCAUCCUUAGCGACAGAUCGGGCCCAAGUCCCCUGGAAGGGGGUGCCUGAGAAAGUGAAAGCCCUGUUGGGCCAGGACCCUGUCACACCAUGAGGCGUUGUCGGCAAGCUGGGUUGUUUGGGAAUGCAUCCCUAAUUGGAUGGUAAAUUUCAUCCAAGGCUAAAUACGAGUGAGAGACCGAUAGCGAACAAGUACCGCGAGAGAAAGAUGAAAAGUAAUUUGAAAAUAGAGUUAAAGAGUGCUUGAAAUUGUUGGGAGGGAAGCAGAUGGAGGAAGGAGAUGCAUCUCGGUCAUAUGCAGAAUGCUUCAAGCUGGUCCACCACUCGACUUGAGGUGCAAACCAGCACAGGCCGUUGCAUCGGCACAAGCGCAGGUGGAGUACUGCCUGUUGGUUUAUCGUUGUGGCAGUUGAGGAGCGGAGAAAUCAAGGGAUUCCACCAUCACUCAUUUAAAUUUAUUUUUAAUCGCUUGCCAAUACUUCUUUUAGUUUGUUGAUAUUGAGCUCGCACAUGAGGUAGUUUAUAUCUAUCAGGAUUUAGGAUCAAUUUUUCAAGCCUGAAUUUGAUGUGUAAAUAUUUAUGAAGGUAUUGGAUCCCUUAAUGACUCUGUUGUGCUAUUGACGAGUUGAAUAAGUUUUGAAAUCAUGAAGCAACCAUGUAGGAAAAUCAAUGUUGCAUAGAAUAAGAUUUUGAUUUUUUUUAUGAGUUUAAAAGUUAAUAAUUGAACCUUCGUCAUUGAAGUAAGAAAAGAAAGGUGUCAAUUUUUUUUGUAUAUUUGGAUAAUUUAGCUAAGAAAAGGAAACUUUCUAGGUUGGGAGGCCAGUUAGUCUCCAAACCUAAUGAAUAAAACUUCUUGAGCCUUAAGGUGUAUACAAUUUACCCCCAAAAAUAAAAUCACUUAUUCAAUGAGGUUACUCGUUGUCCAAACCAAUAGAUUGAAGUUAUUGACCGUUUCACUCAACAAAUUUCCUCCUUGGGGUAAAUCACUCACUUGUCCUUAUUUGUCCUUAUGACCUCUCUUGCACCUUGUGCACUAGUUGGG
rnacentral:ncRNA from 1 species